rnacentral:rRNA from 1 species
GCGGUAAUACGUAGGGCGCAAGCGUUAUCCGGAAUUAUUGGGCGUAAAGAGCUCGUAGGCGGUUUGUCGCGUCUGCCGUGAAAGUCCGGGGCUUAACUCCGGAUCUGCGGUGGGUACGGGCAGACUUGAGUGAUGUAGGGGAGACUGGAAUUCCUGGUGUAGCGGUGAAAUGCGCAGAUAUCAGGAGGAACACCGAUGGCGAAGGCAGGUCUCUGGGCAUUAACUGACGCUGAGGAGCGAAAGCAUGGGGAGCGAACAGGAUUAGAUACCCUGGUAGUCCAUGCCGUAAACGUUGGGCACUAGGUGUGGGGGACAUUCCACGUUUUCCGCGCCGUAGCUAACGCAUUAAGUGCCCCGCCUGGGGAGUACGGCCGCAAGGCUAAAACUCAAAGGAAUUGACGGGGGCCCGCACAAGCGGCGGAGCAUGCGGAUUAAUUCGAUGCAACGCGAAGAACCUUACCAAGGCUUGACAUGAACCGGAACGGCGCAGAGAUGUGUCGGCCACUUGUGGCCGGUUUACAGGUGGUGCAUGGUUGUCGUCAGCUCGUGUCGUGAGAUGUUGGGUUAAGUCCCGCAACGAGCGCAACCCUCGUUCCAUGUUGCCAGCGGGUUAUGCCGGGGACUCAUGGGAGACUGCCGGGGUCAACUCGGAGGAAGGUGGGGACGACGUCAAAUCAUCAUGCCCCUUAUGUCUUGGGCUUCACGCAUGCUACAAUGGCCGGUACAAAGGGUUGCGAUGCUGUGAGGUGGAGCUAAUCCCAAAAAGCCGGUCUCAGUUCGGAUUGAGGUCUGCAACUCGACCUCAUGAAGUCGGAGUCGCUAGUAAUCGCAGAUCAGCAACGCUGCGGUGAAUACGUUCCCGGGCCUUGUACACACCGCCCGUCAAGUCACGAAAGUUGGUAACACCCGA